GGGCCCGCACAAGCGGUGGAGUAUGUGGUUUAAUUCGAUGCAACGCGAAGAACCUUACCAGGGUUUGACAUCCUGCGAAUCUCUUGGAAACAGGAGAGUGCCUUCGGGAACGCAGUGACAGGUGGUGCAUGGCUGUCGUCAGCUCGUGUCGUGAGAUGUUGGGUUAAGUCCUAUAACGAGCGCAACCCCUGUGGUUAGUUGCCAGCGAGUCAAGUCGGGAACUCUAGCCAGACUGCCGGUGCAAACCGUGAGGAAGGUGGGGAUGACGUCAAAUCAUCACGGCCCUUACGUCCUGGGCCACACACGUGCUACAAUGGUAGGUACAGAGAGCAGCCACGUCGCAAGGCGGAGCGAAUCUAUAAAACCUAUCACAGUUCGGAUCGGGGUCUGCAACUCGACCCCGUGAAGCUGGAAUCGCUAGUAAUCG
rnacentral:rRNA from 1 species